rnacentral:rRNA from 1 species
UACGUAGGGUGCGAGCGUUGUCCGGAAUUACUGGGCGUAAAGGGCUCGUAGGCGGCCAACUAAGUCGGACGUGAAAUCCCUCGGCUUAACCGGGGAACUGCGUCCGAUACUGGAUGGCUUGAGUUUGGGAGAGGGAUGCGGAAUUCCAGGUGUAGCGGUGAAAUGCGUAGAUAUCUGGAGGAACACCGGUGGCGAAGGCGGCAUCCUGGACCAACACUGACGCUGAGGAGCGAAAGCCAGGGGAGCAAACGGG